AUUGAACGCUGGCGGCAUGCUUUACACAUGCAAGUCGAACGGUAACAGGCCUUCGGGUGUUGACGAGUGGCGAACGGGUGAGUAAUGCAUCGGAACGUACCCAGAGGUGGGGGAUAACGCAGCGAAAGCUGUGCUAAUACCGCAUGUGAUCUGAGGAUGAAAGCGGGGGACCGAGCAGCAAUGUUUGGCCUCGCGCCUUUGGAGCGGCCGAUGUCGGAUUAGCUAGUUGGUGGGGUAAAGGCCUACCAAGGCGACGAUCCGUAGCUGGUCUGAGAGGACGACCAGCCACACUGGGACUGAGACACGGCCCAGACUCCUACGGGAGGCAGCAAUGGGGAAUUUUGGACAAUGGGCGCAAGCCUGAUCCAGCAAUGCCGCGUGCGGGAAGAAGGCCUUCGGGUUGUAAACCGCUUUUGGCAGGAACGAAACGGUGUCCGCUAAUACCGGGCGCUAAUGACGGUACCUGCAGAAUAAGCACCGGCUAACUACGUG
rnacentral:rRNA from 1 species